rnacentral:rRNA from 1 species
AGUGAACGCUGGCGGUAGGCCUAACACAUGCAAGUCGAACGGCAGCACAGUAAGAGCUUGCUCUUACGGGUGGCGAGUGGCGAACGGGUGAGGAAUACAUCGGAAUCUACUUUUUCGUGGGGGAUAACGUAGGGAAACUUACGCUAAUACCGCAUACGGCCUACGGGUGAAAGCAGGGGAUCUUCGGACCUUGCGCGAUUGAAUGAGCCGAUGUCGGAUUAGCUAGUUGGCGGGGUAAAGGCCCACCAAGGCGACGAUCCGUAGCUGGUCUGAGAGGAUGAUCAGCCACACUGGAACUGAGACACGGUCCAGACUCCUACGGGAGGCAGCAGUGGGGAAUAUUGGACAAUGGGCGCAAGCCUGAUCCAGCCAUACCGCGUGGGUGAAGAAGGCCUUCGGGUUGUAAAGCCCUUUUGUUGGGAAAGAAGAGCAGCAGGUUAAUACCCCGCUGUUCUGACGGUACCCAAAGAAUAAGCACCGGCUAACUUCGUG